CUUUCCAGUGGAUUGUGUGCGAACAGCAGUUGAGCUUGUUAAGCAGCGUGUAAUACCGUGUCCCUGCAGGAGACCUUGUUUCGAAACACAAUUUCAAAAGUCCGCAGCGAGCCUUCGCUGGACCAAUGAUAUCGUUAAAAACAAGGCGGCUGAAGCCAACGACACUGACGAUCGG